rnacentral:lncRNA from 1 species
GCGGCUCAGGCUAGAGUGCAGUUGUGUGAUCACAGCACACUUGAACUGGGCACAAGCGAUCCUCCCACCGACACAUGGCUAACUUGUAAUUUUUAUUUUUGAAGAGAUCUGUCUCACUAUGCUGCCAGAGCUUGCCUCAAGCUCCUGGCAUCAAGUGAUCUCCCCACCUGGACCUUCCAAAGUGCUAGGAUUACAAGCGUGAGCCACCACGCCUGGCCUGAAUCUAUUUCUUAAUUCUAAUGAAUGGGGCAUAAUUUUCACCUUAUCUUUUCCAUUGCUAUGUAUGUAAUAAAGUAAUUUUGAAAAUGACAGCAUGGACCAGUUUGUAGAAGAUGUGCUAUUUUGUUACAGAGCAUGGGACUGUGGUUACUGCUACACGUCUUGACAUGGAGAGAACAGGGUUUGGAAGUGUCCAGUCCUUCUCCAUUAAGGCUUGUGACUGUAACCGGCGGUGUGCAGCAAUUCUAGUAACUGCCUAUAUCCAUGGCAUUAAUGACAACUCACCUUUCUGUGAUCGGUACCUCAUUAGGCACACACUCAAGGAGGAAAUUGCGAAAGAUACAGUAGUUGCAAAACUCUUGUGUCAUGACCUUGAUGAGCCUCCUGAUACAACUCCUUAUGCUCCUAGCUCAGGCCCAGUUGGUUCUGGACAACUCUUUGAGCAAGUGCCAAAUGCUGAAAAUGUCAUCCAGGUGAGAACCAGUUGCUGUAACUCCAGAGAGAUGGAGUCAUUUUAUGGCCACAGUUAAGAUGGUGCUGGUAGAUUCAGCAAGAGGAACUCUGACACAGCACAGCAUAAUUCUGGGCUCCUCUGUUGUCUUAAAAAAUAUUUUUUUAGAAAUAAAGUCUUGCUCUGUUACCCAGGCUAGAGUACAGUGGUGUGAUCAUAGCUCACACAGCCUUGAACUCCUACACUCAAGUGAUUCUCUUGCCUCAGUCUCCCCAGUACCUAGGACUACAGGUGUUGCCACCACACCCAACUAAUUUUUAUUUUUAUUUUUGUAGAGACAGGAUCUUGCUGUGUUGCCUAGGGUGGUCCUGAACUCCUGGCCUCAAGCGAUCCUCCCUUGCUGGAAGGCAUUUGGACAUGUCCUUUAUUAUCUUGCUACCUGCCAUCAGUUUCUCCUUCUUAUAAUAAGCACAAAGUAAUUUGUGUCCUGGUUAACUGGGGAAAUGAAUCAAAGGGUAAAAAGCACACUGAUUUCCUUAGAGAUAAGUCUGUGUGACUAUGUGUGUGACAGUGGUUCAUUCUCCUGGCUUUGGGAACAGUUGAUCAGCUCCUCUUCUCUAC